GUCCCUGCCUCAGCAGCACAUAUAGUAAAAUUGGAACAAUACAGAGAUGAGCAUGGGCCCUGCACAAGAAUGACAUGCAAAUUUGUGAACAUUAUAUAUUUUUA
rnacentral:snRNA from 1 species